AAACAUUCAGCAAACCUACAGAGAAUCCUUCUGCUUCCACUCCAAGAGUCAGGCUGCUGAGGGCUCCAGACUAAACCUUCCCACAGCUUUCCUCCACGUUUGCUCCUUUGUAGACCCAGUUUCACAAAGGAUCUCCCAUUGCCAGGGAAUUCUGCUGCUUCCGCUCAGGAUGGAGCUUCUAUUUUCUCCUGUACCACAGCUCUCCUCUGGGGCUUCCAACCAUCAGUGUCACCAGAGCUUCAGAAAUAGAGAAUUAAUCAAACACCGAGGUAGGCACUCAUAUGAGAAAGUGCUGCUUUAACACAUUCCCCACCUGGAGCACAAACAGG
rnacentral:lncRNA from 1 species